rnacentral:misc_RNA from 1 species
GCACAGUAUAUAGUUUUCACUAAUCAUCCUAUUACAUCCUGUCGUGGCUAUAUUUCUGCCAUUGCUCAUAAUUUGCCUAUAAUUUUACGCCAUUUUGUUCUUCGUUGUUAGUUGCUUCCGUGAACGUGAGGUGUACAACUUUUCUGAUUUUCUUGAUUUUACAUUUUAUUGUGCUCGCUUUUUUUGAUUAGCUUGCAGAACGUAAGAACAAGACGGAUUUCAAUCAGCAUCAUUUAGAUUUCGCCGAUUUUUAAAAACAUGACAUACGCAAGUAGUAAACCGAAUUCUCGUGGUUUUGGAAAUCGUGUAAAUGGUCCAGGCGGACGAGGUGGUUCUUUUGGUGGUGCUUCCAUAAGAGGACGUCGUGAUGAGCAGGGCAGUAGAUUUUCAAGUGGUACCAGUCGAUUUAGUCGUGGGGGAAGCUCUAGAGGAGCACCUGGUGGCUCUGGAAGUGGUCGAGGUGCCAUGAGACCUAGUGGGAUAGGAACAAGGGCUUCUGGAAGUGGCGGACCACCGGGUGGUAGCCGUUUCGGUGGCGAUCGUAAUAAAAAUUUUGGCAGAAAAGGAGGCCCAAAUGUACGUUUACGAAGGCCAGCUUGGGACAGUAAAGUACUGAGACCAUUUAAGAAAGACUUUUAUGUUCCACACCCAAGUGUUGCCAAUCGGUCACCUUUUGAGGUUGAUCAAUUUCGAAGAGCUAAACAGAUAACUGUUGAUGGAUAUGAUGUCCCAAACCCAAUUCAACAUUUCAGUGAAGCUAACUUCCCUGAUUAUGUUUUGAGUGAAAUAAUGAAACAAGGAUUUGAUGCUCCUACAGCUAUUCAAGCUCAAGGCUGGCCAAUUGCUAUGAGUGGAAAAAAUAUGGUGGGUAUUGCUCAAACAGGAUCUGGAAAGACUUUGGCGUACAUUCUUCCUGCUAUAGUGCACAUAAGAAAUCAAGAAGCUGUUCAAAGAGGGGAAGGCCCCAUUGUACUGGUUUUAGCUCCUACUCGUGAAUUAGCUCAACAAAUUCAACAAGUUGCCUCAGAUUUUGGGCAUUCUUCUUAUGUCCGUAACACUUGUGUGUUUGGAGGGGCUCCAAAAGCUCCUCAAGCAAGGGACCUAGAAAGGGGUGUUGAAAUAGUUAUUGCCACUCCAGGUCGCCUGAUUGACUUUUUGGAAAAAGGGACCACGAAUUUAGAACGCUGUACAUAUUUGGUUUUGGAUGAGGCUGAUCGAAUGCUUGACAUGGGUUUUGAGCCUCAAAUAAGAAAGAUUAUUGAACAAAUUCGACCUGAUAGACAAGUUCUCAUGUGGUCAGCCACUUGGCCAAAAGAAGUCAGAAAAUUGGCUUCUGAUUUUUUAAAUGACUACAUUCAUUUAAAUAUUGGGUCUUUACAGUUAUCAGCCAAUCACAAUAUCUUGCAGAUUGUUGAUGUUUGCCAAGAGAAUGAAAAAGAAGUCAAGCUGAACAAUUUAUUACAAGAAAUUGGUAACAAUGGGGAGCCAGGUUCAAAAACGUUAAUAUUUGUUGAAACAAAAAAGAAGGUAGAAAAUAUCACGCGAAAUAUCCGCAGAUACGGGUGGCAGGCAGUUUGUAUGCAUGGGGACAAAAGUCAGCAAGAAAGGGACAAUGUUCUGAGGGAGUUUCGUAAUGGAAGAUCAAAUAUUUUAGUAGCUACAGAUGUUGCAGCUCGAGGACUUGAGGCACAUGCGAGAUGAGAUAUGAGCGUAGUUAGCAGUCGAGUGCUAAUAUUACGCAAACUGUAUUGCGUUCUUGAAUUUAAAAAGGAUGCAAAAUGAUCAGUAAUUAAAUACAAAAAAGUAAACACUGUCUCUUGCGGUGCCUCUGGCUGGCUGCCCGCCUCUUAUUCCGAGGCUAGAUCAGUUAAACGCAUGAAAAAUCUAUCCAAAAAUGAAUUAAUGUAAAAAAAGUCAUGUCGACAAGAAGGCCGAUUUUGGAAGAUUAACUGUGGCAACUUUCUAAAUGGAUCUUUCCUCCCUUUAAUUUCCCAAUUUUCUUAUCUCUAUACAAAAGUUUUUUAAAUGCAAUGUUGUGGGUAUAACAUUGAAAAAAAAAAUCAAUCUAAACACCACUACAGUUUUUAUUUUCGCAAGAAUGAGCAUUUCUGAUAUUUCAUUAUACCCUUUUAUCCUAUUGUCGUUUUUUUCCGACUACUCCAUUCCAUAUAAUUAAAAAAACCAUUUAGACAACGUGGGAUGUUGUCUUGACAUUGAAUUAAAAUAAAGUAUUGCCAAUCUUCCUGUCGGUCCUGUGCACCGGUAUUCAACGGCGUGUUAUUGGAUCUGCUGCAGCCAGCUUCUCUAUUUGCUACUAUUGCGAUACAGAUAAUUUUUAUAGCCGGAAUCACGACCGACGUGGCAGUGAAAUGAUGUGGAAGGUAUUAAGUAUGUCAUAAACUUUGACUACCCAAACUCUUCUGAAGACUACAUUCAUAGGAUAGGAAGAACAGGAAGG